UGUUGUCUUUUUUCUUUCGCGGAGCGUCCUGCUUCUGCUGUUCUAAAGCUGCCCUUGAUCUCUAUAUUGGAUCAGUCUCGAAUUCUGCUCAAACUUCAGUUAUGUUAGGAAAAAUCAACGAGCUCUUAACCGAUUAACAAGUAAACAAAAUGAUAAAUGAUGCCAAAUUCGUGUUGUUUGGUGUGUCAUUUCAAGCACCGUUGAUUCACCUACGUGUUCAACCACUAUCAGCCUUUAUCUUGCAUUUGGAAUCUACUCUAACGGACCUGUCGACCCGCUAACCAGCCAUCUUUGUCACUCUUCACAAUAGCGCCGAUUUCCAUGACCGACUGAACGAAUCGUAGAGAGCAAUGGCGGAAUCCCGAAAUGCCCGUGUGCGACCGUGAACGACGACGUAACAUGUAGGGCGCUUCUAAAGAUUGCGUUGGGGACAUUUUGAGACGGUGCUUGAUUUUACAGUGAUUGAACGACUGACUUCGUUCAAUUUCGAUUGAGCUUUUCGCUAUUCUUGUUGGCCCUCUGCAGUGUUUAAGUUCACUCGUCUCUGCGCCAACUUCGAUACGGUCGUUAAAAGUGGCAUCGGAUGGUGCGUUUAAAAUCGAGCCCCUCACCAAUACACAGUGACGACCGCCGUCACAGCGCAAGGACAUCUCAAUAUUGAGUUUGAAUCGAAGUUAUUCUGUGCAGUGCAGACGACGUAGUACUCGAUACGUCAAGAUCAUCGGAAUUGCAAGUCGUAUCCGGUGGCAAUAUCUUCCGCGAUCCAACAAAAGCACGGAUUAGCAAGACUUUGACCCUAAUAAAAGUUUAAGUUUGGAGAAAAAUAAUAGUGGACGAAAGCAAAGAGAUCAGAACGUUUUACCAGGUGUAUCCCUUGGCCCAAUAAAAUCUACGCGAUGAGUCAGCUAAAGCACACAUCAUCCUAACAGAAGCACGAUGUCGACGGAAAUAACGAAAUCAGGCGAUCUGAUAAAGAAGACCAACCAGUCAGAACAUGCCAUCGGUCAUCAUCUUCAUCAAUCUGUGAAGAUCUUGAACUGAACUGAACGCGAUGUAUAUUUGCCACCACUGACUUUUGACCAUCUUCGAAUAUCGGUUGAACAUGUCGCAGUAUUUCAGUUUGUCUACUGACUCUUCAUCGUGACAAUAUUGACGUACUGCCUAAAUGCAAGGUAUCAGCAGUCUUCGAAUACGUGCGCAAUAUGCGGGUCCGUAUCAUAGAUCGCCGAUGGCGAUCGCCUGGCGGACGAUUCGAGCAACACGAAUUCUAAUGAUCUUCUAGUGGCUAGAUUGGUCAGAUCAUACUUUUUACAUUAUAGAUACUACAUACAUAGGCAUACAACCAAAAACUGGUCUAAUCGUGGAUGCAGGAGUGUUACCGAACGGUAGCUGGCAAAAUGCGCAUGCGACGAAGAAGAAAUAUGCACGAUUUAAUCUUAGUUGAGAGAAGACCCUUAUAGACGAUUAAAGGAUGAAGUAGAAGUAACACUUGUUUCAAGGAGAACGUAGAUCGACCAGAUCGAUUGUCACUUUGUGAUCUUAUGCUGUACACGCUGUCUAAUAUGCUACUUGUAAAUAAUACAUUGAAUUAAAGAUAAUCUUU